GGAUGUGAGGACGAUCUGACUGUGACAUCUGUCACCCCAUUGAUCACCAGGGUUGAUUUGGUUAAUCUGGCUGGCUAGGCGGGUAUCCCUUCCUCCCUCACUGCCCCAUGUGCAUCCCUCCUGAAGCUGCGUGUUCAGCCAAAGAGGACGACCUUCCCCACUAGAGGAGGAUCGUUUUUCAGUCAAGGGUAUACAAGUAGCUGUGCUCCCCUGCUAGAGAACCUCCAAACAAGCUCUCAAAAACAUAAGAAAACAUAAAAAUGAAAGAGGUUCCCAUAACCUACUC
rnacentral:snRNA from 1 species